rnacentral:sRNA from 1 species
UAUUUUAGAUAGUGUCAUUUCCAAUUUUUGGUUUUGUAACGGACAAAAAGCUUUUUCGUGCGAAAGCUUUUCCUUACGAAAAAGUUUUAUUCCUAUUUUUCCACUUUCAACAAUUGCUCUCAAACUGUGCAUUUGAGUUGUGGAUCGAAAAAGUGUGGAAAUAAAUCAAACAAUAGAAGAUAUAUCGCCAAGUAAACAAGUAAAUAAAAUAAUAUGUUAUCGUUGAGGAAGUUUCAGAAACACCUGUGUCAGUUUUGUUUGUUGUGUUUUACUGGAAAUGAAUCAUAAUCCAGCUUCAAAGAGCUAUGAAGGGUAUAUUUGAAGAAUAUAUGAAGAAAGAAUAAAGUACUUUAUAAUUAUAUUGUUAGCCUUCUGAAUAAUAAUUAAAUCAACUUUAUAGGCUUUCCAUUCAAUAAAUGUAUUCAAAUGGCUCUUAACGCUACCCUGAUAAGCGUUUGAACACCUUAACCCAUAAAUAUUUGACAGGGCACAGUUUAUCACAACAAUGUGCAAGAGGUCUUAUCUGUUACCAAAAUACAUUACCAAUUUAUUGCCAAAAAAAAGUGUAUUGGAUGGCUACAACCAUCGAUCAAAUUGUUUAUGUUAGUCAGACAGUCAGGCAGACAGCAGAAAGAAGGCUAAAUAUUGGCAUGUAGGAGGUGCUAUUAUCACAUAUCCUUAUCACCAUGAAGCUGCAGCGUGGCGAUACUGGAUCCACUUCCCACAAGGGGGUAUAUUUCGGUAUCGGCAAUUGGGCUUAUCGCACGACCUUAUCGCAGCCAUGUCACCCCCAGUGUAUUUCGGUUUACGAACCAAUAGAUUUCCAUAUAACAAAAUUCCCAGAUAUGGUUCGCGUUUUGGCAUUCGAAGUAUUUAUGUGCAGCCACAAAUCGCAGGUCGAGUGCAUUAUUAGGAACGGUCAAUCGGGGCCUGCGACAGCGACAAAAACUUUUGAUUGACAGCUUGUAGAGCUAUAAAUAUGACAAGAGAUAGUCCAAAUCUAGUGAAGAACUGGCGCCGAACACACCCCCCAAAAUCAUCAUCAUCAUCAUCAUCACCAUCAUAAUCAUCGUAGCAAUAGUCACACGCAGCGCAACCUUAACUAGAGAUUUCCUUAUUAAAUUCAGUGAAAAGCGAAAAUAUUUUAAAUAUCUGAGCAUCGCCGUUAUACCUAGCCGAGAAUUUAUUAGUGCCAAUUGAGCGCACUUUACUUUGAUUAAAAGAAAUCUUUAUGAUCUGCUUGCGCUCAGAUAAAAAUAUAUAAAAGCAUUCUGAGGAAAGUCAUUGCUUAAUAAUGGUAUUGCUUAAUACGAUAAGAUUUGAUGGUUAACACAACACGGCGGAUGAGUAAUAGCAGAUACAACUUGUAAUGCCAAAAGCUUUUUAAUCUAUUAGAUAGACAGAAAACAGAUCUUAUAUGUAAUUGCUUGUUUUAAUCAUUAAUCUUUAAAAGUUGAAAAUGGCUUCUAUUCUUAUUUAGCACUUCAAAAUAUACGUUAAAGCUUAUCAACUUUCACUGCGUUGAAUUCUUCAAGAUCGUCGCUAUCAGUUUCUGCGAUUAACACUUCGAAAUUACCGCGUUCAAUCUUUGAACUCUAUUGAAAUCAGCAAUACUUGAAAUUCCCUUUCAUUUGCAGUCUAUUUAAAAAGCACGAACUAAUGGCUAUAACUAUGAGAGGCUACUUUGUGUCUUAAAAAUUAGAUUGCCCCAUGGACGGUGCAAUGCCUACGUCGAUGGGCGUUGAUCAACCGUGAAGUCGGCCAAUGGAGCCAUGUUCUUGGAUGGUACAAGUUCAAAGUCUUUGCAAUUGAUUUGCGUAAUGAGCGACUAUCGCCAAUGUAUACUGCCAUUAUUAUUAUUUAGCUGCUGUUGACAUAAUCUGCUUAUCACAUUAUUUAUAGGCGCCAAUUGUGGGCUCGUAUUGACGCAGGCUGGAUCUUGGGGACGAGCCCCAAAAGAUGUCGGGAAUUUUCGCCGGCGGAUGGGGGGCAUGCUACGGAGGCAAGUGCAUUCGCCGGGAGUUCACGGGGUUUAUCAGUCCAGCAUGUGGAACGACGUCUGGUGCUGGAUCGGCAGGCGAUUUCAAUAAAUAUACAUUAUUAAUUUAUAAUUGAACAUAUUGAACACACACACAUUUUCCACUCGUUCGCCGACUGUUUGUGCUGGGAUCCUAGUGGCUGGAAAAUGUAAAAAGCUCUACCGAUUGCGAAUCGCAAUCCCCCAAGGUCCGUAUAAUCCCAAGUGGCUCUGUACGGUAGCUGCAGUUGAUUAAUACCUUGCUCAAAUAGUACAGAUGAUAAGACAAGCCGAGAGAUCCUCGUUAGAUUUAAUGUGUCGCACAAGUAUUUUAUUAGAUUUCCAUGCCCAAUUAGCACACUUUAGUCACUUUACACCCUUAUCAUUCACAUUUUGCACUUGAGCUUGCUCAUUUACAAGGCUCUUCCAAUAAAGUGGCCCAAUUCGUGUCAUUAUCGUAUUGAGUUUCAAGAUUCAACGCCGAUUUCCCACAUUUACGAGCUGUUAUCACUCGUGUUCAACUUAUCGGUGAAGGAUAACGCAAGCUACUAUCAACUGUAACGAUGGAUAAACAAGAUAGCAGCAUUCGUAGUAAAUGUUUUCGAUUAUGCCCGGCAAAAUAGUUGCCCCACUUGAGAGCGAGUCAAUCAUUUAAUCGCAUGUUAUUACAUACCCAAAACCAUAAUUUCACUUUUGCCAUUUGAAAGGGAAAAUGCUCAAGUGAAAAAUUACAGAAAUUUGAAUCUAAAUGGAAAUUAUAGAAAUUAUUUUGAUUUACUAUCUUUAGCUUGGCGCGUGUGGAUGAAAUUUUCUUUGACACUUUGUCAUGUGUUUUCUUAGCCUGAUAACAGAAAUAUCGCCUAUUUCUAGGCAAAUACGAGUCUUUUGAGUCGAACGACAAACAAAAUUUUGAAAAAAAAAAAACACUGAUAAGAAAUUAAGACCACACAGAAGGCUCGUCGAAUUAUUCCAAUGUAUUUUUUAAAAAUGUAUUAAAUAAUUCACGCCUCCGCCCAUGAAAAUCUUAAAUAACAUUGAACCCAAAGUACAAGGUUAAAUCUAAUAGUUUUGUUUUGACAUUUUUUUUUUGUCUCCGGGCUGAAAUCUUCAAGUACGAAUCGAAUAAAUCCCUGGACUAACCGAAUUUAUAUGUAAUAUCGCUUAUCAGCGAUUUCCGCAAUUCAAUUAAUUUAGUAGGCAGCGUGAAAAGAACAAAGAACCUUUUUGAAAUAAGCCGACACAAAAAACGAGUUUUGCUGCAACGAUAAUGAGCAAACCCCGUUACGAAAUCUCCAAGAAAACAGAUGCAAAUUUAUAAAUACAACCAAAAUGAAUGUAAUGUCGUUUUUCGAAAAGUUAAAUAUGGAGAAUUUAUAUAUUUGUGAACGAGAAGAACAAAGGCUUUAAGCUAAAUUUAAAAGGAGUCGUAAAAAAAUGGUUACGUUGUAAUAGUAAGGUAACUUAUUUAGUAAAUAUUUAAUAUUAACAGCGCUCAAAGUUGAAAAUGGCUUUCUAUUAUGCAAUUCAUUUUGCAAUUUCCUUUGAAGAUUAGCUGAAACAAAAUAGUUUAGCUCAAAGUUGAAGUGACAUUUAUAACGGCAAAUUACCAGUUUUAAUUAGCACUUAUUUUUGCACCCGCUAAUCUGGCAUUUAAUGAUCCAUUUCCGUUUGCUGAAUUGUACUAAAGGUAAUCUGAUAUAUGUCAGUGCGUAACUCGGCAGAUCCAUAGAAAAAGUGAAUUGAAUUGAAAAGUAGUCAUCAGCGUCACUGCAGUUGAUUGACUGAUUGUUUUAGUGGAAGGAGGAGAGCUUACAGGUGCGCGAAUUAUUUGUUGAUUUAUCGAGUCUGACUGCGAUCUGAUUAGUAUUCGCACAGAAUUCGCGGAAAACCCCAAAACUUCCGUAGAUGGAACAGCUGAUGGGAAGAGGAACUACAUUUCAACAAAAGUUCACAGUGUGUAUAUAGUAAAUUAUAAUUUUAAUAACACACAAUAGUGCGUGAUGCUGCCGGUUCAAAUAUAAUUCUUUACAUGUUUAGCACACGAGCAAACCAAAAAUUCUGUAAACGAAGUGCGAAAUGUGUAAUUACCAAUUAAACAAGAUUAUCUCAAAAAAAUGCAGUACGUAUGUAUUUUCAUUCAUAUUUUAAUAUGAUUUUAAUUUUUGAAACGUGAACAAUGAGAUCAUUGAUCCAAGCGGCAUAAAAAAGUGGUUUUAAACUCUUUUCAACUUUGCUUAGAGUGAAAUUAUGGAAUUUCUAUUUGUCAAUGAAGGGGCUUGGUUUUUAAUAUGUAAAAAAGGUAGGGAAAAUCUAUUUUAUAUAUUGAUGUCUAUAAAUAUUUCUAGCAAUAAAUUGCCCAACAUUUUCUCUCCGCCGAGAAAUUUUAAACUUGUUUGGCUGCAGGAAAAUAUCCCACAUUUUCCCAGCCAAAGUGUGGGUGUCGCCAACAGUUUAUGCGCCUUUGAUUUUCCAACUUGACGUCACAGAAAAUUCUUACGCAUUAUUUUUAGCCACUUUCUUGUAGCCAGUGCGUUGAGUUAAAUUCAAAAAGAUACAUACAUAUAAAGAGAUUAGCAUAUAUGCAAAAUUAGCCACAUGAACUUGACAGAGAAAUGUGGUAUUUCACUUUCGUUAUGCAAAUAGUUGUCAACACCUUCCAUUGAUUAAAAGCCAAUCACACAAAUGAGUCAACAUGGCCAAGGCCACCGGAAUGUAUCUGUAUCUUGUAAUCGCAUCUAUGUGUGGGUCACUGCAGUUUGUUUACAUUUGGCAGGUGAAACGACCGAGUUCCCUGACGUCACAAUGCUUCGAUUGAAUUACCACCACCCACUGCCCCUUUUCCACCCCCUUGUCAAUUACCUGUCGCGACACGUGAUGUUAAUUUCUCCCAUUACCGCUUUUCAUUCCGAUGCAUUGUGGCUGGGGGAAAAUCUCACAUUCCCCGCCGCUAAUUUUCCAAUAUUCAAAUCUAGGGAUAACAUCUCCAUUUCACCCAAAAAUCCCCUUUUUGUUUCUAAAAAAUGCACUGUAAAAUAGUGGUUUUGCGCUUGAACUAGACCGAGUUAAUUGGAUUUGGUUUUUUGCUAUGUACACCUGCACAAAGUGUAGUGUUUAGUGGAUAAGCACCCGACUCGUAAAAUAAUGUAAAUGGAUUGACUUCGAUGAACCAAGCGAGUUUGGUUACGAAUAAAUGAAAACCGGAGAAAGGGGGUGUAGUGUAAACAAAGUCUGACUAAUGUUUACUUCUUAUUUAUUUUCCAUUCCGUAAACUAUAUCGACAAAAUAACAUUGCAAAUUCUUGGUAUAGCUAAGAAUCCUUAUAGCGACAAAUAUUAUCACAGUGAAUUAUUUAAGUGAGUUAACAAUGUUUAAAAAUCCUACAAGUUGAGAUAAGGCUUUGUAGUUUAGAAGUAUCUUUCGGUUCAAUAGUCGAAAAACCAAAGAGCUUUGAUAAAUAAGAUACAUUCCCUUUGAACUUUACCGUUCCACUUAAUCAGUUACUUUCUUUUUUGGAUCAGGGUCUACGGUUUGAAGUGCACAUAAAGCCCAUUCAAUCGAUUCCAUUUACUUAUCAGCGCAACGAAGUUGUUUCCAAGGCAAUCGAAUGGGGUUCUAUCAACUUAUCAAUUGAUCUACAAAAACAAAACUUUUUAUUUCGAGUAGAAAAUGUUGCGAAUUUCUCGCGAUUCCCCAAAGUACGUGAUUCUUUUACAGUUUUUAUAAUGCCCCUUCCCAUACGAAUAUAAAAUCGAAUUUUGACUAUAACUUGGUCGGAAAGGUUUGCCCAGGGGGGUUUUUCAGAUCGCUGGUCAGAAUACCUGGAAGUACUUUGCGGUUGGGAAACUUAUGUUCGGGAAUUUAACGCGAGCAGAGUGGGAUGGAUCAUGCCAUAAAUAAGUGUGUAGAUCGUGUAUUUAUGAAUCGAAUUUGUUUACAGACCAUGUGGACAUUUGGCACGUUCCAGUGUCUCAUCAAGUUUACGCUUAACUCAGCACAAAGCUUUUCCCCCAUCGAAGGCGGAAUAACAUGUUCCCCACUCAACCCUAUAGACAUAGUUCAGUUCCGAAACGCAUGUCACAGUCCCUAAUUAAUCAUUGUUUACUGUCGAAACAUUCGAAUGGCAAGUGCUAAGACUAGGGAGAGCUCCAACCCCUGACAUAUUUCUACUAUACAAAUUCAAAAGAGGGGAAUGCACUGAUUGACCAAGUGCACCACUUUCAAUUUUACCCAUUGAAAUGGAAAAGAAAUGAUAAGCCGCUUAGGAAUAGUUCACUUUCCACUCUUUCUUUAUGAAUUUAUGUAUUUUUCACACAAUUUCUUUUACUGGUUAUAAUCCAUAUCUGAAAAGUGUAGUAUUCUUAGUACAGGCGCACUUUUUAUCUACAAACAACAUUUUUUUGCAUUGACGCUCAUUUUAAAAUUUCAUUUCCUCCCGGCUCAAUCUUUGACGUCAAAAAAUAUAUUUCCUAACGCUCAACAAGUUUUCCGAAUGUUUUUAUAUACUGAUGGUAAUCUGUGUUAAUUAUUUAUGGUAUGGUUUUCAGUAUCCCGUGACAAGAUAAACCCUAUAUAAUAUUACUAGCGCCAAUUGUAUUAUAAAUAAUAUGGGGUUAAUUCUAAUUUAUUAUCGGAAACGGAAACUUAACAAAUAAUGUAUACCACUUUUGAUUAAUAGAAAUUUCAUAUAAAUAAUUUUAAAACUUGUUUAAAACUUCCAAGUUUAGAUAUUGACAUCUCUUAGAAUAGAUCAUCAUAACAAAGUCAUUAGUGCAAAAAGCAUCGCAUAAUCAGAUGAAUUCUUUUUUCAAUAUAUUAAAAUAAGUGGAAAAUUUUUUAAUAUAUAAAACUGCUAUUUUCGCACAGGUUUCA